UACGUAGGGGGCAAGCGUUGUCCGGAUUUAUUGGGCGUAAAGAGCGUGUAGGCGGCCAGACAGGUCCGUUGUGAAAACUCGAGGCUCAACCUCGAGACGCCGAUGGAAACCGUCUGGCUAGAGUCCGGAAGAGGAGAGUGGAAUUCCUGGUGUAGCGGUGAAAUGCGCAGAUAUCAGGAAGAACACCCGUGGCUAAGGCGGCUCUCUAGUACGGUACUGACGCUGAGGAGCGAAAGCGUGGGGAGCGAACAGG
rnacentral:rRNA from 1 species